rnacentral:tmRNA from 1 species
GCCCUUCCCAAGCCCGGACUUAGGCCUUAUAUUUACCGGCGCCGGGCAACCGGCUAUGGCGCUAAACGCCUUGCAGAAUAAGCAUUGCGGACCCGGGGGCGGUACCCGGCGCCUCCACCAUCCUUCCAGCCUUGUCGUUAGGUUGGCCUGUGGGGGCGAAACAGGAUCGACGCGUGUGGUAAAGGCAGGGUUUGUUCCCGGUAUGGUUCCGCCGUUAGCGGGCCGUUUUACAAGAGCCAACGACAACGAGGCUCUCGCCAUUGCUGCGUAACCGACGCCCCUAACGGGGCAUGGUUAUAAGCUUUAGCGCGGUUCGGGGGGCACCGGGCAACAGAAGCCCCCCACU